GUAGGUGGCAAGCGUUGUCCGGAAUUAUUGGGCGUAAAGCGCGCGCAGGCGGUUCUUUAAGUCUGAUGUGAAAGCCCACGGCUCAACCGUGGAGGGUCAUUGGAAACUGGAGAACUUGAGUACAGAAGAGAAAAGCGGAAUUCCACGCGUAGCGGUGAAAUGCGUAGAGAUGUGGAGGAACACCAGUGGCGAAGGCGGCUUUCUGGUCUGUAACUGACGCUGAGGCGCGAAAGCGUGGGGAGCAACAGGAUUAGAUACCCUGGUAGUCCACGCCGUAAACGAUGAGUGCUAAGUGUUAGGGGGGUUUUCCGCCCCCCUUAGUGCUGCAGCUAACGCAUUAAGCACUCCGCCUGGGAGUACGGCCGCAAGGCUG
rnacentral:rRNA from 1 species